CUUUGAAUCAGGCACCAUUUAUCCGAGAAAAGGCCAUUCUACUAGUAUAACUGAUGGUACUUAUAGGGAAAAGAUUCAUUGAUGAUCAGGAACUAAAUGCACAAUUUCUAGAACUUGUCAUCAACAUCUACAGGUUUUCAACAGCAGUAUUCCACAUAGAGUGUUUGAAAGACUGAUCUACAUAACAUGUUCACAGAACUGGGAACUGAUGGGUGGACACUUCUAGACCAAACAAUGAAUUGAGGAUGAGAUAGAUGUAGAACUUGGUGUUGCUGCUGAUGAGGCAACACAGAAAGAGUCUUCAAAGAAAGAGAUACAGGACCCGAAAUAGAACUUACAGACAUUAUUGUAGAGACAAGCAAAGUUCCUGGAGAAUUGUAGGGAAGUCAGUGUAAGAACAUUUUGAAUUAAGCUAACAUUGGUAGAUGUAUAUAGGAUGACAGUAGACUUUAAUUAGAAUAAACUAUGGUGAGCUGAUUGAAAGAGUAACAAGUACAAAGAACCAGUGAGAAAUAAAAGUGGAAAGCCUGAG